rnacentral:lncRNA from 1 species
CUGAAACAAUGUAGUCCGUUUACAGCUGUUGGAUGUGAACUCCUCACAGUGCACUGCGUACCUUCUAGGAAUAUAAAUAGCCUGUUGCUUUUUUUUUUUUUCUUUUCUCUCUCCACUGCACUUCUGUGGCUUACUUUCCCAAAGAUAAUUAUAUGACUCAGGAAGACAAAUGCAUACUUCACAUACUCGUGGGAAUCAUAAUGCUGAUAGGUGGUUGAGAGCAUUUUGAAGCUCUUUGAACACACAAGAACAGUUGAAUUCCAGUGACUUACCUACACAAACCAAAGCAAGUCCAGGCAAUGGCUGCAUAGUUUUUGUGGAGUCCUUACCCAGUGAAGGACAAAUAUCUUCCUGAGAAGGAAUAAUCUUUGGUCUUACAGUACCGAGGCACAGUCAGUCUUUGUUGCCAGAGAAAUCACGGGCAUUUUGUGAGAGAGAGCGGCAGGUGGCAUUACAAGCAGAUCUUUGAUGCUGCAGAUCAAAGAUGGACCUUGGUGAGAACUGGAAGCUGGAUGAAACCAACUGGUUGUCUCGUGGCGGGAUCCAUCCCUUUGCCAGUGCGAAAGGAGACAAUGAGCUUUCCGAAGGUGCGCCAGCCCUGUUUGGUCUGGAUCAGCUGGGCUGGAUACGGCCCAGCGCAGUGGCAGCACAGAUUCACAAGCAAGCACGCACUCUGCAACGCACAGGCAGACCAGCUAGAGAGGAUCCAGCUAGAAGGCAGGCAAGGUGUCUAUCGUUAAAACAUGGACUUGGGACUCAAGGUCAUUCCUAUCAACUGUAGACUCCUUCCAUGGGUUUGGGGUGAGAUUCAGAGAGCUCGUGCUGGUACCUACGACGGGACUGAGAUCCUACGACCUGAUGUACGAAGACCAUGGGGCAGCAGAUGCUUACGCCUGGGAACAUCCCCGUGUAUUAGACAUCUCCAGUUUGGACAGUGCGGUCCCAGGGUGCCCAUGUCUCAGCCAUAGCUGCCCUGUGUCCAGCUCCUGACUUUCCUGGCAAGCUGGUACGGGGUACUACGAGGCUCACAGGCUACUUCCGCUGCCUGCUGGCUCCAGAGCCAGCAGAUUGUUUCACUGCCACAUGGUGCAGAAUAAGACAGAAUUUCUUAAUUAGAGGACCUGCAGCCAGA